CCCAUUAGCACAGCGGGGCCCUGAGGCGGCUCCUCCAUGCCCGUUGGCGUCGUGCACCGGGGCUGCCUUGCACCGGGGCUGCCUUGCUCCGGGCUCUCCCGGUCGGCCAGCCCUCACCCCACACUACCGCCGCGGACUCUGCUCCCUCCCAGUCCACAGCGGCCCCGCAGGCAGCUGAGUCCCCGUCCCACGGGGCCCGUGCCGCAGGGCUUUCCGGUCCGGCCCGCAGCCCAGCCCGGUGGAUCCCGUCCCGGUGGAUCCCAGACCGGUGGAUCCCGCCCCUCUGCCCCCGGGGCUCCUGCCGUGCGGCGCCGGGGCGGAGCCGGCAGGGGGCGCCCUCCCCCGCCCCUUCCCGUGAGCCCGUGCCCCGCCCGGCCUCCGUACCCGCCUGGCGUCGCCAUGGGGACCGGCCCGGAGCCGGGAGACGGGGACGCGGGAGCCUGCACGGAGGUGGAUGCACAGGGCCCGGUUCCAAGUAUCAUGGAGGGGUUCAAGAGACUGGGUUACAGCAAAUGGCAGAAGACAGAAGCAGAGGAGAGGAAGUCUCCACCCCGCAGGAUGACUUUGCCACCGCUCACCAAUGAAGACAAGAAGAAGAAAGGGGAGAAGAACAAGCCAGUUGCAUUUAUGCUGAGUAAAAAACCACCCUUGCCUUCAGAGACAUCAUCAUCCCCAGAGAAAUACAGAAGUUUUGCUCAGAGGAAAUUAGCACUUAAGAAGGCUGAAUUAGCUAAAACCAUGGAAGAGAUCAAAAUUAUCACGGAUCUGACCAAUCUGAAGAAAAAUGCCAUCGAGGAGAUGAAGCAGCACAGUGCCCACCUGGCAGAGACCAACAACCGGCUGAUUAAGGACAUCCAGCACACUGAUGACAGCACUGCCAAGCAAGCAAGGGUAUUGCUGCAGCAGUACGAAGUAUUUCAGAGGGUGAAGGCAAUGGUGCAGACCUUCAAUCAAAACCAGCUGGACACAGCAAGGGCAGAGCUCCAGGAAAUGGAAAAAACAAUGGAAAAGAAUCUGGGAAAGCUACAGCAGCAGCUGGAGGAAGCCACAUCAAAGGUACAGGUUCUCCAGGAUGAGCUCAGUGUCCUGCGGACCUACAUCAAUGGGCACUAUCCGGAACAAGAUGUCCAGAUAGUUCUUCUGCAGCACAGCAUCCAGAGCCUGAAGGAGCAACACCAGGAGGAGAAAGACAAGACAGAAAAAAUGGGGAAGGCCAUCUUGGAGAAACUAGAAGAGAAGGCACAAGCAGAACAAGAGGCGAUGUUACAGAAAGUCGUGGAGGAGAAGUUGCUGCACCAGGAUGGCCUGAAACAGAUGGUGAUAAACAAUCACAUUCUGCGAUGUGGAAUACUGAGGCAAAGGGAGAAAUGUCAUUCAUCCAGAUUGUUAAGGACCUGGAGGAAGAGAUUCGUGAACUGAAGAGAAGCAUCCAGACACUCCGUCAGAGUGCAAGAGACCCAAGAGAGCUGAUCUUUGCCGAUGUCCUUCUCCACAGACCCAAGUGCACACCAGAUACCGAGGUGGUCCUCAGCAUCCCCGCUGAGGAGACGCCGCUCAUCUGACGCUCGGCCAGGCUCCACUCGCAGGCCCGAGGGAUCGCAUGGUGCAGAUGAGGUGCCAAGCUGCAAAGCCCCUCUUUUCCCCAUCAGCACUUCUCCAUCCCAGCCCUGCUCAGCUGCCCUGGGGACUCACUGAUGUGGUUCUAUGGUGCAGUAAAGGUGUUACCGUCAUUCCUGGUCCGUGUGGCCUGUGCUGUUCUCACAGCCACGAGGCUGCAGUCCCUUGGAAGGAGCGCGGGGUGAGCCCCGCGACCACAGCUCCUGGGGAGCCAUCGCCAGCCCUCCUGCACUUACAGGCUGACCCGUCCCCUUCAUACCAUCGCGGUAACGCCGGAUGGAUUGAAGCCAAAAGGUCACUGUGACCGUGACUGUGAGAAGUGUCCUGGGACUGGGUCUGGUGCCGUGAUUCCCUACCAGCGCAUCCCAGUGUGGGCUGGACUGGUGUCCCAGCGCGGGGUGCCGGUGCUGGGGCAGUUUGGUGCCACAGCACCUGCGUGGCUCAGGGCCAA